rnacentral:rRNA from 1 species
GACGAACGCUGGCGGCGUGCUUAACACAUGCAAGUCGAGCGGGGACUUAAGGGAGCUUGCUCCUGAGAGUUCUAGCGGCGGACGGGUGAGUAACGCGUGAGCAACCUUUCUCUCAGUGGGGAAUAACACAAGGAAACUUGUACUAAUACCGCAUGAGACCACAGUGCUGCAUGGCACAGGGGUCAAAGAUUUAUCGCUGAGAGGUGGGCUCGCGUCCGAUUAGGUAGUUGGUGAGGUAACGGCCCACCAAGCCGACGAUCGGUAGCCGACCUGAGAGGGGGAUCGGCCACAUUGGGACUGAGACACGGCCCAAACUCCUACGGGAGGCAGCAGUGGGGAAUAUUGGGCAAUGGGGGAAACCCUGACCCAGCAACGCCGCGUGGAGGAAGAAGGUUUUCGGAUCGUAAACUCCUGUCCUCAGGGAAGAGCAGAAGACGGUACCUGAGGAGGAAGCCCCGGCUAACUACGUGCCAGCCGCCGCCGUAACAC